rnacentral:lncRNA from 1 species
AUCCAGUUGUUCCAGCCUCGUUUGUUAAAAAAACUAUCCUUUCUCCUUUGAAUUGUCUUCGCAUCUUUGUUGAAUGGGUACUGGAAUUUUAACAGACUCCAGGUGUAGUGAAAAGUGAGAUCCAAGCUGCCUGAAGGUGAGUCUCUUCUGCCCUUCCAUAUUUGACAAAGAUCUUGAUACGUUCUAGAGUCCAGAACAGUUUCCUAGCCUGACGAAUCUUUGUGAUUUUUCCCUGGAAUUUUUGCAAAUGCUGUCACUAUCUAUCUGGACAGAAAUCUCCAGAGGGAUCAGACCAUACAAAAGUGAUCUUAAACUAGACAUAAACGUGACCUACACUUAUAGACCUGUGCUAUUAUGUCUUGCAUGAAUCACACCUAUAUCUGCUUUUCCCAUUAGACUGUGAGCUAUUCAGAGGCGAGAACAAUGUUUUAAUAAUAAAAACAACAUUCACAGCUACCAUUCUGAACACCCGCUAUGUUCCAGUGCCGUGCUCAGCAUUUAUGGAUAUUCUUUCGUGUAAUGAGCAUCUCAUCAUUUUCCAAGAUUCUCGAGUUGUGUUUCACAGAGACUAGGUAACUUGCCCAAGGUCACACAACCAGUAAACGGCAGAGCCAGGAUUCACGCCAUGGAGAGUCUGUCUAUAAAACCACAAAAAUUAACGAGGCAAGUGUUACUAGAUAGCCCAGUCCCUCACAGGAAAUGGCUCUGAUUCUCCAAACUAUGGCAGACCAAUGACAUAAUUAUAGCAUGAAAAAUGUAUACAUAGUCAAACAGGGUGAGCAGGAGAGGCUGGCAGAAAUCUUAGGCAUGGGUGGGUUAGGGCUCGCCAUGAGGUGGCACUCGCAGUCUUUGUUUUUAUUUUCUAUUAUGAUGACAAUUUGGAAUUUUUACCCCACUGCGAAGAGUGGUGCUUCGUUUCAUGUUUUACGUGGUUGGUUUCCUGCGCUUUUGACAGUUUCCCCCCAAUCUUGACAACUGUCAGGAUUGAUCUUUCUUCUGGAAUGACAGGAUACUACACUGAGACCUGGGAGAAGCCUGUGUUCCCUCUCACCAGCCAUCCACAAACAUGCGAUGCUUUGUCUGUUUUCCUGUAUCACCACUCUGAUGGCCUCUUCGUUUUGAAAGAUGAUGUCUACACAAUUCCUGACACUCCUGGUUGGACCACAUUCCCACAGACUAAGCCUUUUUCAACAAGACCAGACCAUGGAGGAGUGGCAAAGAACCCAGAGCCGUGGCUUUAGAUGGAAAUUUCUAGAAUGGAGUGUUAUAUAAAUUUUUUCCUACACACUGACUGGCUUGAAGAUAAUUACUUUAGAAACAUUGGUCCUUUAAAUAUUCCUCUGCAUGUCUGAUGUUGCCGUUUCCCUGAGAAGCCCAUUUGUGUAUAAGCCUGAGCGAAUUUACUCUGUAAGUGAGUUAUACUAGAUUGUCCGAGAACACAGUGAAGUCUAUUGUCUAACUCCACAUGAAGCCCCUUAAAAGAUUUGUGUUCAUCUUAGGGCAUAUCAAGUAGUGAGUGUUCUCAUAAGAGAGUGUCCUGUUUUCUCGUGGUGAGGUAACAAAACAGAUGGCUCUGGCUUGCCGUUCUCUCACCUAAACUGUCAGUGAGCCAGCCAUCUUGUCUCAUUUCCACAAACAAACAUCCCAGUCCUUGCAAAAUGUGGAAGAACAGAGGAUCUUCAUUCAGCAAUGGCUUUAGCUGUGAAAAGAUGAAAGCAUUUAGCCAUCUCUCAAAUAAGAGUUACCCAGGAGGUGCUGUAUUUUCAUAUAGGCAAAUCUAAGUGAUUUAGGUUUCAAAUAACCCUGUCAUGAAAAAGGGAAUGCAGUCUAUUUGAAUAUCUUGAAAUAAAAUUUUCAAGUAUAGUUUUGUGUGGACAAGAAUUGGGUGAAUGGAAGAGUAUGGAGUCAUAAGCAUCCGACUUCUGUUUUAACCAGGACCUUCAAUGAAGUGGAAUUUCCCUCUUUUUUUUUCGGAGAGGGGGUGAUGCUUUAAGAACUUGUAUCAAGGAUCUUAAAACAAUUUCCAGGAUGUUUCUUGGGAUUGAGCUGCCUUCUAGAUAUCUAAUUCUGUAGAAAUAGAACUGAUGGUCAAAAAGAUAACCCUAAGUAACCAGAAAAUCCCCAAUUAUCAAAAGAAAGAAUCAACUGUGGUCAUUCUACUACUGUACUGAAUAAGAUACGAAAGAG